rnacentral:RNase_P_RNA from 1 species
ACACAAAAGAUAAUCGCUGCACAGCUUGACUGUGUAGAGGAAAGUCCAUGCUCGCACAGACUGUGAUGUCUGUAGUGUUUGUGCCCGUCUAAUUCAUAAGGCGGGGUGCCGAGGCAUCGGUGACGGCGGAUCAAGAUCCUAAGGGAAACUAUGGAUGGAGACUAUAAAAGUGCCACAGUGACGAAGCCUUAUGGAAACAUAAGGAGUGGAACGUUGGUAAACCCCAUAAGCGAGAAACCCAAAAUUGGUAGGGGAACUGAGGCGCACGAAACGAAGUGCAAUUCGGACAUCAGAAAUGGUGUAGAGAAAUGGUUAUCGUAACAGAACAUGGCUUAUUG